rnacentral:pre_miRNA from 14 species
UCUUCGGAGUUGUGGGUGGUUGCAAGAUCCCGGACGAGCCCCCAAAUGAAAGACCCCCCAGAGCGGGGAGACCCCCCACUCAAAUCUCGAGAUGACGCAACCCCCAAGAACUCACGAGAAACC